GUGAGGGAGGGGGUGACUAGUGACAGAGUGAGAGAGGGGGUGACUAGUGACAGAGUGAGGGAGGGAGUGGGUGACUAGUGACAGAGUGAGGAAGGGCGUGACACAAUGACAGAGUGAGGGAGGGGGUGACUAGUGACAGAGCGAAGGAGGUGGUGACUGUCACUAGUCACCUCAUCCCUCCCUCUGUCACUAAUCACAACCUCCCUCACUCUGUCACUAGUCACCCCCUCUCUCACUCUGUCACUAGUCACCCCCUCCCUCUCUCUGUCACUAGUCACACCCUCCCUCAC
rnacentral:sRNA from 1 species